GAUGAACGCUGGCGGCGUGCCUAAUACAUGCAAGUCGAGCGAACGGACGAGAAGCUUGCUUCUCUGAUGUUAGCGGCGGACGGGUGAGUAACACGUGGAUAACCUCCCUAUAAGACUGGGAUAACUUCGGGACACCGGCGCUAAUACCGGAUGAUCUUUUGCACCGUAUGGUUCAAAAGUGAAAGACGGUCUUGCUGUCACUUAUAGAUGGAUCCGCGCUGCAUUAGCUAGUUGGUACGUUAACGGCUUACCAAGGCAACGAGGCAUAGCCGACCUGAGAGGGUGAUCGGCCACACGGGAACGUGAACACGGUCCUGACUCCUACGGGAGGCAGCAGUAGGGAAUCUGCCGCAAUGGUCGAAAGCCUUACGGAGCAACGCCACGUGAGUGAUGAAGGUCUUCGGAUCGUAAAACUCUGUUAUUAGGUAAGAACAUAUGUGUAAGUAACUGUGCACAUCUUGACGGUACCUAAUCAGAAAGCCACGGCUAACUACGUG
rnacentral:rRNA from 1 species